UACGGAGGGGGCUAGCGUUGUUCGGAAUUACUGGGCGUAAAGGGUGCGUAGGCGGCUGUUCAAGUCAGACGUGAAAGGCCUGGGCUCAACCUGGGAACUGCGUUUGAGACUGGACGGCUUGAGUCCGGGAGAGGUGAGCGGAAUUCCCAGUGUAGAGGUGAAAUUCGUAGAUAUUGGGAAGAACACCGGUGGCGAAGGCGGCUCACUGGACCGGUACUGACGCUGAGGCACGAAAGCGUGGGGAGCAAACAGG
rnacentral:rRNA from 1 species